rnacentral:rRNA from 1 species
GAGUGAAAUAGAACCUGAAACCGUGUGCUUACAAGUAGUCAGAGCCCGUUAAUGGGUGAUGGCGUGCCUUUUGUAGAAUGAACCGGCGAGUUACGAUUUGAUGCAAGGUUAAGCAGUAAAUGUGGAGCCGUAGCGAAAGCGAGUCUGAAUAGGGCGUUUAGUAUUUGGUCGUAGACCCGAAACCAGGUGAUCUACCCUUGGUCAGGUUGAAGUUCAGGUAACACUGAAUGGAGGACCGAACCGACUUACGUUGAAAAGUGAGCGGAUGAACUGAGGGUAGCGGAGAAAUUCCAAUCGAACCUGGAGAUAGCUGGUUCUCUCCGAAAUAGCUUUAGGGCUAGCCUCAAGUGAUGAUUAUUGGAGGUAGAGCACUGUUUGGACGAGGGGCCCCUCUCGGGUUACCGAAUUCAGACAAACUCCGAAUGCCAAUUAAUUUAACUUGGGAGUCAGAACAUGGGUGAUAAGGUCCGUGUUCGAAAGGGAAACAGCCCAGACCACCAGCUAAGGUCCCAAAAUAUAUGUUAAGUGGAAAAGGAUGUGGCGUUGCCCAGACAACUAGGAUGUUGGCUUAGAAGCAGCCAUCAUUUAAAGAGUGCGUAAUAGCUCACUAGUCGAGUGACACUGCGCCGAAAAUGUACCGGGGCUAAACAUAUUACCGAAGCUGUGGAUUGUCCUUUGGACAAUGGUAGGAGAGCGUUCUAAGGGCGUUGAAGCAUGAUCGUAAGGACAUGUGGAGCGCUUAGAAGUGAGAAUGCCGGUGUGAGUAGCGAAAGACGGGUGAGAAUCCCGUCCACCGAUUGACUAAGGUUUCCAGAGGAAGGCUCGUCCGCUCUGGGUUAGUCGGGUCCUAAGCUGAGGCCGACAGGCGUAGGCGAUGGAUAACAGGUUGAUAUUCCUGUACCACCUAUAAUCGUUUUAAUCGAUGGGGGGACGCAGUAGGAUAGGCGAAGCGUGCGAUUGGAUUGCACGUCUAAGCAGUAAGGCUGAGUAUUAGGCAAAUCCGGUACUCGUUAAGGCUGAGCUGUGAUGGGGAGAAGACAUUGUGUCUUCGAGUCGUUGAUUUCACACUGCCGAGAAAAGCCUCUAGAUAGAAAAUAGGUGCCCGUACCGCAAACCGACAC